AGGCGAGGCCGAAAGGCGUAGUCGAUGGGAAACAGGUUAAUAUUCCUGUACUUGGUGUUACUGCGAAGGGGGGACGGAGAAGGCUAUGUUGGCCGGGCGACGGUUGUCCCGGUUUAAGCGUGUAGGCUGGUUUUCCAGGCAAAUCCGGAAAACCAAGGCUGAGGCGUGAUGACGAGGCACUACGGUGCUGAAGCGACAAAUGCCCUGCUUCCAGGAAAAGCCUCUAAGCAUCAGGUAACAUCAAAUCGUACCCCAAACCGACACAGGUGGUCAGGUAGAGAAUACCAAGGCGCUUGAGAGAACUCGGGUGAAGGAACUAGGCAAAAUGGUGC
rnacentral:rRNA from 1 species